rnacentral:rRNA from 1 species
CUCGUAGGCGGUGUGUCGCGUCGGUCGUGAAAACUUGGGGCUUAACCCUGAGCUUGCGGUCGAUACGGGCAUCACUUGAGUUCGGCAGGGGAGACUGGAAUUCCUGGUGUAGCGGUGAAAUGCGCAGAUAUCAGGAGGAACACCGGUGGCGAAGGCGGGUCUCUGGGCCGAUACUGACGCUGAGGAGCGAAAGCGUGGGGAGCGAACA